rnacentral:rRNA from 1 species
CCUACGGGAGGCUGCAGUCGAGAAUCAUUCACAAUGGGGGAAACCCUGAUGGUGCGACGCCGCGUGGGGGAAUGAAGGUCUUCGGAUUGUAAACCCCUGUCAUGUGGGAGCAAAUUAAAAAGAUAGUACCACAAGAGGAAGAGACGGCUAACUCUGUGCCAGCAGCCGCGGUAAUACAGAGGGCUCAAGCGUUGUUCGGAAUCACUGGGCGUAAAGCGUGCGUAGGCGGUUUCGUAAGUCGUGUGUGAAAGGCGCGGGCUCAACCCGCGGACGGCAUAUGAUACUGCGAGACUUGAGUAAUGGAGGGGGAACCGGAAUUCUCGGUGUAGCAGUGAAAUGCGUAGAUAUCGGGAGGAACACUCGUGGCGAAGGCGGGUUCCUGGACAUUAACUGACGCUGAGGCACGAAGGCCAGGGGAGCGAAAAGGAUUAGAUACCCCGGUAGUC